rnacentral:rRNA from 1 species
GAUGAACGCUGGCGGCGUGCCUAAUACAUGCAAGUCGGGCGAAGCGGGGACGUGUGAGUAACACGUGGAUACCCUCCUAUAAGACUGUUAUAACUUCGGGAAACCGGAGCUAAACCCGAUACUUAUAGAUGGAUCCUCGCUGAAUUAGCUAUUUGGUAAGGUAACGGCUUACCAAGGCAACGAUGCAUAGCCGACCUGAGAGGGUGAUGGGCAAAACUGGAACUGAGAAACGGUCCAGACUCCUAGGGGAGGAAGCAGUGGGGAAUCUUGCGGAAGGGGCGAAAGACUGACGGAGAAACGCCGCGGGAGUGAGGAAGGUUUUGGGAUCGUAAAAAUCUGUGAUAAGGGAAGCGGUACAUAAUCAGAAAGCCACGGCUAACUACGUGCCAGCAGCCGCGGUAAUAC